GUCUUAAUAAUUUAAACAAAAUACUGGUCUUGUAAAUCAGAAAUAAGAAUUUCUUUUAAGUCA
rnacentral:tRNA from 1 species